rnacentral:rRNA from 1 species
GUUGUAUGGUUAAGUGACUAAGCGUACACGGUGGAUGCCUAGGCAGUCAGAGGCGAUGAAGGACGUACUAACUUGCGAUAAGCGCAGAUAAGGCAGUAAGAGCCGUUUGAGUCUGCGAUUUCCGAAUGGGGAAACCCAACUGCACAAGCAGUUACUGUUAACUGAAUACAUAGGUUAACAGAGCAAACCGGGGGAACUGAAACAUCUAAGUACCCCGAGGAGAAGAAAUCAACCGAGAUUCCGGUAGUAGCGGCGAGCGAACCUGGAUUAGCCCUUAAGCACUCGUUGAAGUAGGUGAACAAGCUGGAAAGCUUGGCGAUACAGGGUGAUAGCCCCGUAACCGACGCUUCAUCGAGCGUGAAAUCGAGUAGGGCGGGACACGUGAUAUCCUGUCUGAAUAUGGGGGGACCAUCCUCCAAGGCUAAAUACUCCUGACUGACCGAUAGUGAACCAGUACCGUGAGGGAAAGGCGAAAAGAACCCCUGUGAGGGGAGUGAAAUAGAACCUGAAACCGUGUACGUACAAGCAGUAGGAGCACCUUCGUGGUGUGACUGCGUACCUUUUGUAUAAUGGGUCAGCGACUUAUAUUCAGUGGCAAGGUUAACCGUAUAGGGGAGCCGUAGCGAAAGCGAGUCUUAACUGGGCGCUCAGUCUCUGGAUAUAGACCCGAAACCGGGUGAUCUAGCCAUGGGCAGGUUGAAGGUUGAGUAACAUCAACUGGAGGACCGAACCGACUAAUGUUGAAAAAUUAGCGGAUGACUUGUGGCUAGGGGUGAAAGGCCAAUCAAACUCGGAGAUAGCUGGUUCUCCCCGAAAGCUAUUUAGGUAGCGCCUCGGACGAAUACUACUGGGGGUAGAGCACUGUUAAGGCUAGGGGGUCAUCCCGACUUACCAACCCUUUGCAAACUCCGAAUACCAGUAAGUACUAUCCGGGAGACACACGGCGGGUGCUAACGUCCGUCGUGGAGAGGGAAACAACCCAGACCGCCAGCUAAGGUCCCAAAGUAUUGCUAAGUGGGAAACGAUGUGGGAAGGCUCAGACAGCUAGGAUGUUGGCUUAGAAGCAGCCAUCAUUUAAAGAAAGCGUAAUAGCUCACUAGUCGAGUCGGCCUGCGCGGAAGAUGUAACGGGGCUAAGCAAUACACCGAAGCUGCGGCAAUGCCUUUUAGGUAUUGGGUAGGGGAGCGUUCUGUAAGCCGUUGAAGGUGGUCUGUAAGGGCUGCUGGAGGUAUCAGAAGUGCGAAUGCUGACAUGAGUAACGACAAAGGGGGUGAAAAACCUCCUCGCCGGAAGACCAAGGGUUCCUGUCCAACGUUAAUCGGGGCAGGGUGAGUCGACCCCUAAGGUGAGGCCGAAAGGCGUAAUCGAUGGGAAACGGGUUAAUAUUCCCGUACUUCUGACUAUUGCGAUGGGGGGACGGAGAAGGCUAGGUGGGCCAGGCGACGGUUGUCCUGGUUCAAGUGCGUAGGCUUAAGAGUUAGGUAAAUCCGGCUCUUUCUAAGGCUGAGACACGACGUCGAGCUGCUACGGCAGUGAAGUCAUUGAUGCCAUGCUUCCAGGAAAAGCCUCUAAGCUUCAGAUAGUCAGGAAUCGUACCCCAAACCGACACAGGUGGUCGGGUAGAGAAUACCAAGGCGCUUGAGAGAACUCGGGUGAAGGAACUAGGCAAAAUGGUACCGUAACUUCGGGAGAAGGUACGCUCUUGAUGGUGAAGUCCCUUGCGGAUGGAGCUGACGAGAGUCGCAGAUACCAGGUGGCUGCAACUGUUUAUUAAAAACACAGCACUGUGCAAAAUCGCAAGAUGACGUAUACGGUGUGACGCCUGCCCGGUGCCGGAAGGUUAAUUGAUGGGGUUAGCGCAAGCGAAGCUCUUGAUCGAAGCCCCGGUAAACGGCGGCCGUAACUAUAACGGUCCUAAGGUAGCGAAAUUCCUUGUCGGGUAAGUUCCGACCUGCACGAAUGGCGUAAUGAUGGCCACGCUGUCUCCACCCGAGACUCAGUGAAAUUGAAAUCGCUGUGAAGAUGCAGUGUACCCGCGGCUAGACGGAAAGACCCCGUGAACCUUUACUACAGCUUGGCACUGAACAUUGAACCUACAUGUGUAGGAUAGGUGGGAGGCUAUGAAGACGUGACGCUAGUUGCGUUGGAGCCGUCCUUGAAAUACCACCCUUGUAUGUUUGAUGUUCUAACUUAG